UACGUAGGGGGCAAGCGUUGUCCGGAUUUAUUGGGCGUAAAAGAGCGUGUAGGCGGCCAGAUAGGUCAGCUGUGAAAACUCGAGGCUCAACCUCGAGACGCCGGUUGAAACCAUUUGGCUAGAGUCCGGAAGAGGAGAGUGGAAUUCCUGGUGUAGCGGUGAAAUGCGUUGAUAUCAGGAGGAACACCCAUGGCGAAGGCAGCAUACUGGCCGGCAAUCU
rnacentral:rRNA from 1 species